UACGUAGGGGGCAAGCGUUGUCCGGAACUAUUGGGCGUAAAGAGCGCGCAGGCGGUCGUUCAAGUCGCGUGUGAAAGCCCCCGGCUCAACUGGGGAGGGUCACGCGAUACUGAUCGACUCGAAGGCAGGAGAGGGUAGUGGAAUUCCCGGUGUAGUGGUGAAAUGCGUAGAUAUCGGGAGGAACACCAGUGGCGAAGGCGACUACCUGGCCUGUUCUUGACGCUGAGGCGCGAAAGCUAGGGGAGCAAACGGG
rnacentral:rRNA from 1 species